CAAAGGUAGUUUAUUUAAAAAUUUAGACUUUGGGAGUCUGUGAUACUAUUUAUUAGUUCUUUGA
rnacentral:tRNA from 1 species